UUCUGCGAAAUUGUUUUGGCAAUUGUUUAUUCCUCUAAAAAAUAGUAGGUAUAGCACUGAAUAUCUCGAGGGAGUAUGAAAAUAUUUAUCUCAGAUAUUUAAUCUCAAAAUAACUAUUUCUUAAAAUAAAUAAUCAGACUAUGUGCGAUAAGGUAGAUAGUCGAAAGGGAAACAGCCCAGAACAGUAAUUAAAGCUCCCCAAUUAAUAUUAAGUGAA
rnacentral:rRNA from 1 species